GAGUGCCUCCCUGCCUGCCGCUCGCUUCCCUGACCCCGCGCCCGCACGCGCCCUGCGGACUCGGCGCCGGAAUUGGCGCCGGGCGCCUGGGCCUUGGUGCGGCGCUGCGGCCCAUGGGGAGGGUCGGCCUGGCGGACCGGAUUUAACCCAUUGGAAUUAAUAAUGGAAGCCAGACUCAGAUUUGAACAAAGGAAAUUCAUCCUAAAAUGCUACUGGAAGUUUGAAAAUGUAGUUGGAGUACAAAGACAAUUUAUGAGGGAGUUUCAAACAGGUCCAUCUACGAGACUUACCAUUACUUGAAUUAGAAAUAAGUUUGAAGCCGAUGGAACUAGUAUUCAGAAUGUCCACAAAAAGCGUUCCGGAAAACCACAGACACCCACAAAGCAAGAAAGGGUACUGGAAAUGUAUCUCCAAAGUCCAAGAAAAUCUGUGCAGCAAACAAGUUGUGAUGUAGGAAUUUCAAAAUUGUCCAUCGUAUUUUAAAGCGCUCCCAUUGGAAAAGUGACAUCCAAGAUUAGUCCAUGCAAUCAAUGAAGAUGAUCGGACCUAAGUGUGGAGUAUUACGAAUAGUACUUGGCAAGAUGUGUAGUAGAUGCACACUUUCCAACAAAGAUUGAAGUCAUGAGGCAACAUUUAAAUUAAAUGGUUCGAUUAACCACUACAACUGCACCUUCUGGGGAACUGAGAAUCUACAUGUUAUGGUGGAACAUUGCCAGGGCUGACCAGCAGCCCCUGAGCGAUGGAUGAACAAAUUACUCCAACACAGGUUUCUGUGAAAGAGAGGGCUAAGGGACUCUUACUUCAGUAGUAAAAGCAGUCCUGUUCACCUUC